rnacentral:rRNA from 1 species
AGGACGAACGCUGGCGGCGUGCUUAACACAUGCAAGUCGAACGGAAAGGCCCUUCGGGGUACUCGAGUGGCGAACGGGUGAGUAACACGUGGGUGAUCUGCCCUGCACUUUGGGAUAAGCCUGGGAAACUGGGUCUAAUACCGAAUAGGACCACGGCAUGCAUGUGCUGUGGUGGAAAGCUUUUGCGGUGUGGGAUGGGCCCGCGGCCUAUCAGCUUGUUGGUGGGGUGAUGGCCUACCAAGGCGACGAUCGGUAGCUGUUCUGAGAGGAAGAUCAGCCACACUGGGACUGAGACACGGCCCAGACUCCUACGGGAGGCAGCAGUUGGGAAUCUUGGACAAUGGGGGAAACCCUGAUCCAGCCAUGCCGCGUGAGUGAUGAAGGCCUUCGGUUGUAAACUCUUCGACGGGACGAUAAUGACGGUACCGUAGAAGAAGCUCCGGCUAACUUCGUGCCAGCAGCCGC